rnacentral:rRNA from 1 species
CAGCCGCCGCGGGAAUACGAAGGGCGCGAGCGUUAAUCGGAAUUACUGGGCGUAAAGCGUGCGUAGGCGGUGAGUUAAGUCUGCUGUGAAAUCCCCGGGCUCAACCUGGGAAUGGCAGUGGAUACUGGCUCGCUAGAGUGUGUCAGAGGAUGGUGGAAUUCCCGGUGUAGCGGUGAAAUGCGUAGAGAUCGGGAGGAACAUCAGUGGCGAAGGCGGCCAUCUGGGACAACACUGACGCUGAGGCACGAAAGCGUGGGGAGCAAACAGGAUUAGAUACCCCGGUAGUCCCUGUCUCUUAUAA